rnacentral:rRNA from 1 species
AUGAAGGACGUGCUAAUCUGCGAAAAGCGCCGGCGAGGUGAUAUGAACCUUUGACCCGGCGAUGUCCGAAUGGGGAAACCCAGUGUGAUUCGUCACACUAUCGUUAACUGAAUACAUAGGUUAACGAGGCGAACCGGGGGAACUGAAACAUCUAAGUACCCCGAGGAAAAGAAAUCAACCGAGAUUCCCCCAGUAGCGGCGAGCGAACGGGGAGCAGCCCAGAGUCUGAAUCAGCUUGUGUGUUAGUGGAAGCGUCUGGAAAGUCGCACGGUACAGG